rnacentral:rRNA from 1 species
CAACCCUUGUCCUUAGUUACCAGCACGUUAUGGUGGGCACUCUAAGGAGACUGCCGGUGACAAACCGGAGGAAGGUGGGGAUGACGUCAAGUCAUCAUGGCCCUUACGGCCUGGGCUACACACGUGCUACAAUGGUCGGUACAAAGGGUUGCCAAGCCGCGAGGUGGAGCUAAUCCCAUAAAACCGAUCGUAGUCCGGAUCGCAGUCUGCAACUCGACUGCGUGAAGUCGGAAUCGCUAGUAAUCGUGAAUCAGAAUGUCACGGUGAAUACGUUCCCGGGCCUU